rnacentral:rRNA from 1 species
GUUGAACGCUGGCGGCAGGCCUAACACACGCAAGUCGAGCGGAUGAAGGGAGCUUGCUCCUGGAUUCAGCGGCGGACGGGUGAGUAAUGCCUAGGAAUCUGCCUGGUAGGGGGGGAUAACGUCCGGAAACGGGCGCUAAUACCGCAUACGUCCUGAGGGAGAAAGAGGGGGAUCUUCGGACCUCUCGCUAGCAGAAGAGCCUAGGUCGGAUUAGAUAGUUGGUGGGGUAAAGGCCUACCAAGGCGACGAUCCGUAACUGGUCUGAGAGGCUGAUCAGUCACACUGGAACUGAGACACGGUCGAGACUCCUACGGGAGGACGCAGUGGGGAAUAUUGGACAAUGGGGGAAAGGCUGAUCCAGCCAUGUCGGGUGUGUCAAGAAGGUCUUCGGAUUGGAAAGCACUUUAAGUUGGGAGGAAGGGCAGUAAGUUAAUACCUUGCUGUUUUGACGGUACCAACAGAAUAAGCACCGGCUAACUACGUG